CCUACGGGAGGCUGCAGUGGGGAAUCUUGCACAAUGGGGGAAACCCUGAUGCUGCGACGCCGCGUGAGUGAAGAAGUAUUUUGGUAUGUAAAGCCCUAGCAGCAUGGAAGCAAAUGACGGUGCCUGAUUCAGAAGCCGCGGGGAACUACGAGCCAGCAGCCGCGGUAAUACGUAGGGGGCAAUCGCUAGCCGGAUUUAAUGGGAGUAAAGGUAGCGUAGACGGCAGCACAAUGCUGGAGUGAAAUGCCGGGGCUUAACCCCCGAACUGCUUUGGAAACUGUGCAACGAGAGUGCAGGAGAGGUAAGUGGAAUUCCUAGUGUAGCAGUGAAAUGCGUAGAUAUUGGGAGGAACACCAGUGGCGAAGGCGGGUUACUGGACUGUAACUGACGUGGAGGCUCGAAGGCGUGGGGAGCAAAAGGGAUUAGAUACCCGUGUAGUC
rnacentral:rRNA from 1 species